rnacentral:rRNA from 1 species
AUUGAACGCUGGCGGCAUGCCUAACACAUGCAAGUCGAACGACAGCGCCGGGUCCAGUCGCGCACGGGGGCGUAAAGGGGGGGAAAAUGCCCUGAGACUUGGCAUAAUGCUUCGUCAGGGGCGCUAACAUCGGGAAAAGUACGCUAACAAAACAUUUGUCGUAUUUGGGUGAGCUUGCGUUCGAUUAGCCUGGUGGUAGGGUAAAAGCCUACCAAGGCGACGGUCCAUAGCUGGGUAGAGAGGAUGAGCAGCCACACUGGGACUGAGACACGGCCCAGACUCCUACGGGAGGCAGCAGUGGGGAAUAUUGGACAAUGGGCGAAAGCAUGAUCCAGCAAUGCCGCGUGAGUGAUGAAGGCCUUAGGGUUGUAAAGCUCUUUUACCCGGGAUGAUAAUGACAGUACCGGGAGAAUAAGCUCCGGCUAACUCCGUG